UUUUCUGUCCUUUCCCCAUCACACCGGAAGAUGUUCGGUGGGAGUGAAUCACAUGGUGCGGGAGGGUCUGCAGAUGAAAAGAGAGGUUGGCUGGAGCAGAGAUCGUUUUUGCGAUCCGGUGCCUCGGGAAUGGCAGGAGUUAAUUAUUCAAACAUUAAGUAGCAUUGGUGUCUUGGAGCCUCGGAGGUCACACUAUUUGGGGCUAGGACUAGGGCAGUUGACUUCUCCAGUGCAGGCCUCCUUGCUCUCACCACAUAGCUCAGUUUACGUACACACAACCCUAUAAAGUUCACGGAGCGAUUUAUUUCCGGAAAUAGAAAAGUCUAGAAUAAUCUGUACCCAGUGCAUAGAAUAAAAUCCAGGAUUACAGAGUUCUCUGAUUCUCAGCAGAAGAGUGACAUUGGCUUCUCCACGAGUCAGCUCUGAAUGAACAUUUUUGCCUGCUGUUCCAGAUUCCUAAAAGAUUCCCCAGCUCCCACACCCCCUUCUCUACCUCCCAGCUUCCCUGAUUUCAUUCAAAUCCAUCUAAAAUCCCAUCUUCUACAAGAAGUCCUCCCUUAAUGCUAGUGCCUUCUCUCUCCUGAUUAACCGUUUGAAAGAGAUUCUUUGGUUUAUAUCUCAGUUUUCUCAACUGUAUGAGGAUCAAAUAAAAUGUAAAGCACCUAUCUAUAUAAAUAUUAUUACUGUUUACUGACUGACUUGGAACUCCAGGUUAUGAACUGUGGCGGCGUUCUUCUCUUCUUUAAAAUAAUAUAAAGGUUCUCUCUGGGAGCAGGUUUCUUGGGGAGGUUUUCUGGAGGCAGCUUUAGUUUCAGUUAAAAGUAAUAAUCACCCAAAUGCAGCCAGGUGCUAAAAGUUCAAACAUUUAUUUCUUAUCCCUUUCCAAGCCCAGUUAGCUUUCUUAGAGGUCUAUAUUUCUGCUUGGUUCCAAGAGCUCUUGCUGUUGUCCUUUGCCUCUGCUUUCUUCAACCUCCAGCCAGCACCAAGGUAGGAGAUGGAAUGAUUAUCUCUCUUUGGCUCCAGUCCUCUGUCUUCUCGGAGUCUGACUCCGAGCUCUUCCGAGUCUGUUUUUGGCUGAGUUUGUCCCAGUAUAAAUAUGCAUAUAAAUGCAGGAUACUGAAUAUAAACCAAUCAUUGUAUCACUAGGGAUGUUGUAACCAUAAUUUGUUGUAUUUGUAAUAAUGUUGUUAUAAGAUUAAAUCAGUCAUACUGAACUUAAGAGAACUAUUAAUCACCAUGCUAAACUAGAUAACCACGGUCUUAUGGAUUUCACUUAGUUAACACCUUGUAAGAAUUCUUGUUUCAAGUACAGAGUUCUGGCCCAUUUCAAACUUAGUGAAAGAUGAAAUGUGAGAAGGCAUUUCCUUACCUCUCAGUUCUUUGCCUAGGUGGAGGGACUGUGGGUAUGGAAUAUUACAUAUGUCAGAAUUUUCUAACACUUUAGUUGCUUUUGCUGAACUUAUUUUGUUUCCUCUUUUUUGUUUUUGUUACAAAAAGGAUGACUCUGGUAGCAUUAGGAUGGAUACAUUGUUAUUAAAAAAAAAAAAAAAGACCAAUAAAAUUUUAUUAAAGAAAAGAAAAUGUCUAUUACUAGUGGGAGAGUCAUUUGUAUGUGUAUUUGCAUGGAGUUAAGUAAAUCCAAACACUUCCUGAGAACAAUGAAAAGAAGUUUUGAAGAAGGAAAAAGUCCAAGGAGCAAAGGACAAACUUCUCUUUUAUCCUUCAAAUAUUCCUAGGUCAUACUACAGAAAUUCCCUUUACUUUACCUUCCUCACUUGCUGUAGGAAGUGAUUAUUUGAUAAAUAUCCAGGAACAUAGGUUAAAUUCGAUAGCCUAGCUUACCUAUGCAAGGCAAGGAAGGUAUAGAUUGUUUAAGAUUUUGCAAAUUCUAAGUACACAGUUUAGAGGGAAUGUUGAUCUUUACAAGACCUCUGAUUUUUGGGACAAGAGGAACAAUUUAUGUUGAAGAGCAGUGAAAAGUAGAAGGGCAAAGGUUAUUGCUAAGAUUAUAUUCAGAGAGAGCAGAAUUUGGAAAGGGAGAUGGGAGUACAAAGAUUUAGUAAAAAGAAAACCAUAUUUGAGAUUAAAAGAAUUGUUGGGUCACUUUCUUGGCAAAGGUACUAGAAUGAUUUGCCUUUGCCUUUUUCCAGCUCGUUUUACAAAUGAGAAACUGAGACAAAAAGGGUUAAGUAA